rnacentral:lncRNA from 1 species
AUAAGGCUUACGUAGCUCCAAGAUGACCUAUUCCUUCUCCUUCUUCUUCUCCUUCUUCUUCUCUCCUCCGUCUUCUCCUUCUUCUUCUCUUCUUAUUUUCUUCUUCUUCUCCUCCUUCUCCUUCUCCUUCUCCUUCUCCUUCUCCUUCUCCUCCUCAUCCUCGUCCUCCUCCUUCUUUUUCUUCUCCUUCUUCUUCUCUUCUUGCUUCUUCUCUUUCUUCUUCUACGUCGCUUAUUUUCCCCCAACAAAAACAUACUUAGUUAA